GACGAACGCUGGCGGCGUGCUUAACACAUGCAAGUCGAGCGGUAAGGCUCCUUCGGGAGUCCACGAGCGGCGAACGGGGGAGUAACACGUGAGUAAUCUGCCCUUCACUUCGGGAUAACCACCGGAAACGGUGGCUAAUACCGAAUACGACCAGUCUUCGCAUGAGGUGCUGGUGGAAAGUCUUUUCGGUGGAGGAUGUGCUCGCGGCCUAUCAGCUUGUUGGUGGGGUAAUGGCCUACCAAGGCUUCGACGGGUAGCCGGCCUGAGAGGGUGACCGGCCACACUGGGACUGAGACACGGCCCAGACUCCUACGGGAGGCAGCAGUGGGGAAUAUUGGACAAUGGGCGAAAGCCUGAUCCAGCAACGCCGCGUGAGGGAUGACGGCCGUCGGGUUGUAAACCUCUUUCAGUACCGACGAAGCGCCCUGUCGGGUGGUGACGGUAGGUACAGAAGAAGGACCGGCCAACUACGUG
rnacentral:rRNA from 1 species